rnacentral:rRNA from 1 species
GACAGAGGGUGCAAACGUUGUUCGGAAUUACUGGGCGUAAAGCGAGUGUAGGCGGUCUCGUAAGCCGGGUGUGAAAGCCCCGGGCUCAACCCGGGAAGUGCACUCGAAACUGCGAGGCUAGAGUAUCGGAGAGGUUGGUGGAAUUCUCGGUGUAGAGGUGAAAUUCGUAGAUAUCGAGAGGAACACCGGUGGCGAAGGCGGCCAACUGGACGAAUACUGACGCUGAGACUCGAAAGCGUGGGGAGCAAACAGG